rnacentral:rRNA from 1 species
GCAAGUCGAACGGUAACAUUUCUAGCUUGCUAGAAGAUGACGAGUGGCGGACGGGUGAGUAAUGCUUGGGAACUUGCCUUUGCGAGGGGGAUAACAGUUGGAAACGACUGCUAAUACCGCAUAAUGUCUUCGGACCAAACGGGGCUUCGGCUCCGGCGCAAAGAGAGGCCCAAGUGAGAUUAGCUAGUUGGUAAGGUAACGGCUUACCAAGGCGACGAUCUCUAGCUGUUCUGAGAGGAAGAUCAGCCACACUGGGACUGAGACACGGCCCAGACUCCUACGGGAGGCAGCAGUGGGGAAUAUUGCACAAUGGGGGAAACCCUGAUGCAGCCAUGCCGCGUGUGUGAAGAAGGCCUUCGGGUUGUAAAGCACUUUCAGUUGUGAGGAAAAGUUAGUAGUUAAUACCUGCUAGCCGUGACGUUAACAACAGAAGAAGCACCGGCUAACUCCGUGCCAGCAGCCGCGGUAAUACGGAGGGUGCGAGCGUUAAUCGGAAUUACUGGGCGUAAAGCGCACGCAGGCGGUUUGUUAAGCUAGAUGUGAAAGCCCCGGGCUCAACCUGGGAUGGUCAUUUAGAACUGGCAGACUAGAGUCUUGGAGAGGGGAGUGGAAUUCCAGGUGUAGCGGUGGAAUGCGUAGAUAUCUGGAGGAACAUCAGUGGCGAAGGCGACUCUCUGGCCAAAGACUGACGCUCAUGUGCGAAAGUGUGGGUAGCGAACAGGAUUAGAUACCCUGGUAGUCCACACCGUAAACGCUGUCUACUAGCUGUGUGUGCCUUUAAGGCGUGCGUAGCGAAGCUAACGCGCUAAGUAGACCGCCUGGGGAGUACGGGCCGCAAGGUUAAAACUCAAAUGAAUUGACGGGGGCCCGCACAAGCGGUGGAGCAUGUGUUUAAUUCGAUGCAACGCGAGAACCUUACCUACACUUGACAUGCUGAGAGUUACUAGAGAUAGUUUCGUGCCUUCGGGACUCAGACCAGUGCUGCAUGCUGUCGUCAGCUCGUGUCGUGAGAUGUUGGGUAAGUCCCGCAACGAGCGCAACCC